AUACGGGAGGCAGCAGUGGGGAAUAUUGGACAAUGGGCGAAAGCCUGAUCCAGCAAUACCGCGUGUGUGAAGAAGGCCUGAGGGUUGUAAAGCACUUUCAAUGGGAAGGAAUACCUACCGGCCAAUACCCGGUAGACUGACAUUACCCAUACAAGAAGCACCGGCUAACUCCGUGCCAGCAGCCGCGGUAAUACGGAGGGUGCAAGCGUUAAUCGGAAUUACUGGGCGUAAAGCGUGCGUAGGCGGUUGUUUAAGUCAGAUGUGAAAGCCCCGGGCUUAACCUGGGAACUGCAUUUGAUACUGGACGACUAGAGUUUAGUAGAGGGGAGUGGAAUUUCAGGUGUAGCGGUGAAAUGCGUAGAGAUCUGAAGGAACACCAGUGGCGAAGGCGGCUCCCUGGACUAAAACUGACGCUGAGGUACGAAAGCGUGGGUAGCAAACAGGAUUAGAUACCCCGGUAGA
rnacentral:rRNA from 1 species